rnacentral:rRNA from 1 species
AAUUCGCCCUUAGCCAGCUUUUUCAUCUCGUCCCAAGAUGCAAAGCGCGGUGGCUCUGGCUGUGCAAGGCGCCCUUGCGCGCUCAAAAGCCCCGCAGUAGCCGCGCAUAUCACCAGGGCAGCGCCUGCUGUCGGAGCGCAGCGCAUGAUUCUGGGGGUGGCCUUGGGUGCAGCAACGCUAGGACUCCGGAACGCAAGAGUUCAAGACCCAGCAGCUAAA